AGUGAUGGUAAGAAGUGAUUCAAAGAUACCGAAAGCAGGUGGGGAGGGAGCGGGUAGACUUGCUACCAGGCUCUUCUCCAAACUCCUGCCUCUCCUCUCAGUCCCCUCACCGUCAAGGCUUUGUUAACAGUGGAAGAGCUUUGGGGAAGAUGCCGAGAUGCCACGGUGAUGCUCAGCAGAGCCAGUGUGCCAGAAUCUGUCCAGCAGUUACAGACCCAGAAGGACGGUGGAAAUUCAGAGCAUGCUUACCAAAAGUGCCCACGACCUCUCGAAACAGGAAGCAGGUUCUGUUGGGUGAAAGAGAACUCCACAGCAGCCAUCAAGGACACCUACAUGGACAAGAAGCACCUUUCACCGACUCCGUCUGAGGGUGGCUCCUCUCUGGCGUGGUGGUUAAGAUAAAGACGCACAGGACCACUGUCAUCCAUGGGCACCAUCUCUGGCACAUCCAUAAGUACAGUCACUUUGAGACAUACUACAAGAAUGUGUCUGCGCACCUGUUCCCUUUUUAGGGAUGUGCACCUCAGCAACGUCACCAUGGCCCCAGAGAAAGACAGCGCACUUGCGUGUGCUCAAGGUCACCAAGGUCACUGGUACCAAGAAGCAAUUUUGAAAGUUCUGAGAGAAUGCAGGCCAACUCCCCAGAACACGAUACAGUUAUUUUCUAACUUUACAGGGAUUAAAAAAAUAAUAAUAAAGUAGAUGGAUCUAUGCCAAGGCCAGGGACCUGGUGGAGAAACAAUGGGCCUCUGUUGGAGAGGGAAGGCUGUAAAGGCCAGUUUGUGUUUAGGCAACAUGGUGCUGAUAUAGGUGUUCGGUGUGAGUCAGCUAAAAUGUAGCUGACACUGGACGUGGGACAGUGGACAAUGACUUGGCACAAAAUGGUUGACCCUGGAUGUCUGGGGAACCCCAAAAUAAACAGUGAUUUAACAUGUUA